rnacentral:rRNA from 1 species
UCAUUAACUGAAUCCAUAGGUUAAUGAGGCGAACCGGGGGAACUGAAACAUCUAAGUACCCCGAGGAAAAGAAAUCAACCGAGAUUCCCCCAGUAGCGGCGAGCGAACGGGGAGCAGCCCAGAGCCUGAAUCAGUGUGUGUGUUAGUGGAAGCGUCUGGAAAGGCGUGCGAUACAGGGUGACAGCCCCGUACACAAAAAUGCACAUAUUGUGAGCUCGAUGAGUAGGGCGGGACACGUGGUAUCCUGUCUGAAUAUGGGGGGACCAUCCUCCAAGGCUAAAUACUCCUGACUGACCGAUAGUGAACCAGUACCGUGAGGGAAAGGCGAAAAGAACCCCGGCGAGGGGAGUGAAAAAGAACCUGAAACCGUGUACGUACAAGCAGUGGGAGCACGCUUAGGCGUGUGACUGCGUACCUUUUGUAUAAUGGGUCAGCGACUUAUAUUCUGUAGCAAGGUUAACCGAAUAGGGGAGCCGAAGGGAAACCGAGUCUUAACUGGGCGUUAAGUUGCAGGGUAUAGACCCGAAACCCGGUGAUCUAGCCAUGGGCAGGUUGAAGGUUGGGUAACACUAACUGGAGGACCGAACCGACUAAUGUUGAAAAAUUAGCGGAUGACUUGUGGCUGGGGGUGAAAGGCCAAUCAAACCGGGAGAUAGCUGGUUCUCCCCGAAAGCUAUUUAGGUAGCGCCUCGUGAAUUCAUCUCCGGGGGUAGAGCACUGUUUCGGCAAGGGGGUCAUCCCGACUUACCAACCCGAUGCAAACUGCGAAUACCGGAGAAUGUUAUCACGGGAGACACACGGCGGGUGCUAACGUCCGUCGUGAAGAGGGAAACAACCCAGACCGCCAGCUAAGGUCCCAAAGUCAUGGUUAAGUGGGAAACGAUGUGGGAAGGCCCAGACAGCCAGGAUGUUGGCUUAGAAGCAGCCAUCAUUUAAAGAAAGCGUAAUAGCUCACUGGUCGAGUCGGCCUGCGCGGAAGAUGUAACGGGGCUAAACCAUGCACCGAAGCUGCGGCAGCGACACUAUGUGUUGUUGGGUAGGGGAGCGUUCUGUAAGCCUGUGAAGGUGUACUGUGAGGUAUGCUGGAGGUAUCAGAAGUGCGAAUGCUGACAUAAGUAACGAUAAAGCGGGUGAAAAGCCCGCUCGCCGGAAGACCAAGGGUUCCUGUCCAACGUUAAUCGGGGCAGGGUGAGUCGACUCCUAAGGCGAGGCCGAAAGGCGUAGUCGAUGGGAAACAGGUUAAUAUUCCUGUACUUGGUGUUACUGCGAAGGGGGGACGGAGAAGGCUAUGUUGGCCGGGCGACGGUUGUCCCGGUUUAAGCGUGUAGGCUGGUUUUCCAGGCAAAUCCGGAAAACUAAGGCUGAGGCGUGAUGACGAGGCACUACGGUGCUGAAGCAACAAAUGCCCUGCUUCCAGGAAAAGCCUCUAAGCAUCAGGUAACAUCAAAUCGUACCCCAAACCGACACAGGUGGUCAGGUAGAGAAUACCAAGGCGCUUGAGAGAACUCGGGUGAAGGAACUAGGCAAAAUGGUGCCGUAACUUCGGGAGAAGGCACGCUGAUAUGUAGGUGAAGUCCCUCGCGGAUGGAGCUGAAAUCAGUCGAAGAUACCAGCUGGCUGCAACUGUUUAUUAAAAACACAGCACUGUGCAAACACGAAAGUGGACGUAUACGGUGUGACGCCUGCCCGGUGCCGGAAGGUUAAUUGAUGGGGUCAGCGCAAGCGAAGCUCUUGAUCGAAGCCCCGGUAAACGGCGGCCGUAACUAUAACGGUCCUAAGGUAGCGAAAUUCCUUGUCGGGUAAGUUCCGACCUGCACGAAUGGCGUAAUGAUGGCCAGGCUGUCUCCACCCGAGACUCAGUGAAAUUGAACUCGCUGUGAAGAUGCAGUGUACCCGCGGCAAGACGGAAAGACCCCGUGAACCUUUACUAUAGCUUGACACUGAACAUUGAGCCUUGAUGUGUAGGAUAGGUGGGAGGCUUUGAAGUGUGGACGCCAGUCUGCAUGGAGCCGACCUUGAAAUACCACCCUUUAAUGUUUGAUGUUCUAACGUUGACCCGUAAUCCGGGUUGCGGACAGUGUCUGGUGGGUAGUUUGACUGGGGCGGUCUCCUCCUAAAGAGUAACGGAGGAGCACGAAGGUUGGCUAAUCCUGGUCGGACAUCAGGAGGUUAGUGCAAUGGCAUAAGCCAGCUUGACUGCGAGCGUGACGGCGCGAGCAGGUGCGAAAGCAGGUCAUAGUGAUCCGGUGGUUCUGAAUGGAAGGGCCAUCGCUCAACGGAUAAAAGGUACUCCGGGGAUAACAGGCUGAUACCGCCCAAGAGUUCAUAUCGACGGCGGUGUUUGGCACCUCGAUGUCGGCUCAUCACAUCCUGGGGCUGAAGUAGGUCCCAAGGGUAUGGCUGUUCGCCAUUUAAAGUGGUACGCGAGCUGGGUUUAGAACGUCGUGAGACAGUUCGGUCCCUAUCUGCCGUGGGCGCUGGAGAACUGAGGGGGGCUGCUCCUAGUACGAGAGGACCGGAGUGGACGCAUCACUGGUGUUCGGGUUGUCAUGCCAAUGGCACUGCCCGGUAGCUAAAUGCGGAAGAGAUAAGUGCUGAAAGCAUCUAAGCACGAAACUUGCCCCGAGAUGAGUUCUCCCUGACUCCUUGAGAGUCCUGAAGGAACGUU